CGGGGUCUCUGGAACUCGGAUCUCACCGAGUGACGGAACAGGCUUGAGGGGCGAACAGCCUCACUGCGCCCCUUUGCUCUGUGCAUCGAGGGUUACGGGUAAAGAGCAGGAAUGUCAGAUCGGCACACGAUGGCGUCGAAUGUCGGCGCAGGUGUGGUGAGCUUUUCCUGCUCUGGUAUCUGAGAGGCUUACCUGUGCUUAGAGUGCGGUGCGGUUUCGUCUGUUCCCCCAGGCUCGGUCCUGCCUAAUGUUUUCCAGCUGCCUCUACGACAUCCCGAACACUCUGGCGCUGGACAUUUUCCCGGCUGUGGCAUGUACCGGACUGUGACUGUUGGGAUGUAAUGUUCUGUGCUCGUUCUGCUCUAGGUGAAAGGCUGGAGGAAUCAGUCCCAGCACUCCUACACCAUGGGUGACAGCUCACCAGUGACCCCGCCUGCAGAGGAGAAAUCCGGCCAACUGAACAAGACGAAGAUUGCCGAAGGAGGGAGGAAGUUGAAG